GACGAACGUUGGCGGCGUGCUUAAUACAUGCAAGUCAACUGAAGCAGUGGUAGCAAUAUCGCUGUGGAGGUGGCGCACGGGUGAGUAACACGUAGGUAAUCUGCCUUCAGCUCUGGCAUAACUCCGGCAAACCGGGGCUAAUAGCAGAUGAUGCAGCGUCUCGUCAUCGAGACAGUUGUUAAAGCUAUGGCGCCUGUACAUCAGCCUGCGUCUGAUUAGCUAGUUUGCGGGGUAACUGCCCACCAAGGCAACGAUCAGUAGCUGGUCUGAGAGGAUGAUCAGACACACAAGAACUGAGAGACGGCCAAGAGUGCUACGAGAAGGAGCAGUAAGGAAUAUUGCUAAAUGAGAGAAAACCUGAAGCAGCAAAGCGGCGUGAGGGACGGAGGGGUUUUGCUUGUAAACCUGGGUAGUAAGAGAAAAAAAUCACAAUCGUUGGGACAUGAUGGUAUCUCAAAAGUAAGCCCCGGCUAACUACGUG
rnacentral:rRNA from 1 species